ACCGGCGCACGGGUGCGUAACGCGUAUGCAACCUACCUUGGACAGGGGAAUAGCCCAGAGAAAUUUGGAUUAAUGCCCCAUGGUAUUUUAGGAUGGCAUCAUCUUAUUAUUAAAGAUUUAUCGGUUCAAGAUGGGCAUGCGUCCCAUUAGUUAGUUGGUAAGGUAACGGCUUACCAAGACGAUGAUGGGUAGGGGUCCUGAGAGGGAGAUCCCCCACACUGGUACUGAGACACGGACCAGACUCCUACGGGAGGCAGCAGUGAGGAAUAUUGGUCAAUGGGCGCAAGCCUGAACCAGCCAUGCCGCGUGCAGGAUUAAGGCCCUAUGGGUUGUAAACUGCUUUUGUACGGGAAGAAACACCGAUUCGUGAAUCGGCUUGACGGUACCGUAAGAAUAAGGAUCGGCUAACUCCGUGCCAGCAGCCGCGGUAAUACGGAGGAUCCAAGCGUUAUCCGGAAUCAUUGGGUUUAAAGGGUCCGUAGGCGGGCCUGUAAGUCAGUGGUGAAAUCUUUCGGCUCAACCGGAAAAUUGCCAUUGAUACUGCAGGCCUUGAAUUAUUGGGAAGUAACUAGAAUAUGUAGUGUAGCGGUGAAAUGCUUAGAUAUUACAUGGAAUACCGAUUGCGAAGGCAGGUUACUACCAAUACAUUGACGCUGAUGGACGAAAGCGUGGGGAGCGAACAGGAUUAGAUACCCUGGUAGUCCACGCCGU
rnacentral:rRNA from 1 species